UACGUAGGGUGCGAGCGUUAAUCGGAAUUACUGGGCGUAAAGCGUGCGCAGGCGGUUCGUUGUGUCGGGCGUGAAAUCCCACGGCUCAACCGUGGAAGUGCACCCGAAACUACGUAGCUAGAGUCCUGGAGAGGAAGGUGGAAUGCUUGGUGUAGAGGUGAAAUUCGUAGAUAUCAAGCGGAACACCGGUGGCGAAGGCGGCCUUCUGGACAGUGACUGACGCUGAGACGCGAAAGCGUGGGGAGCAAACAGG
rnacentral:rRNA from 1 species